AGGACUAACGCUGGCGGCGUGCCUAACACAUGCAAGUCGAACGGGGGUAGCAAUACCCCAGUGGCAGACGGGUGAGUAACACGUGGUCAACCUACCUCUGUGUGGGGGAUAACUAGCCGAAAGGUUAGCUAAUACCGCAUACGAUCGUUUUGAGGCAUCUCGAGACGAUGAAAGGAGCAAUCCGCACGGAGAGGGGACUGCGUCCCAUUAGUUAGUUGGUGGGGUAACGGCCUACCAAGACUCCGAUGGGUAGCUGGCUUGAGAGAGCGACCAGCCACACUGGAACUGAGACACGGUCCAGACUCCUACGGGAGGCAGCAGUGAGGAAUUUUCCGCAAUGGGCGAAAGCCUGACGGAGCGACGCCGCGUGUGGGAAGAAGGCCUUCGGGUCGUAAACCACUGUCGAAGGGGAAGAUAUUGACGGUACCCUUGGAGGAAGCCCGGCUAACUACGUGCCAGCAGCCGC
rnacentral:rRNA from 1 species